rnacentral:lncRNA from 1 species
AGAGGUGGGAAUAGGCUAGGCCGAGCUAGGCUUUGCCAAGCCUGAGCCUGGCCUGUCAAAAAAUCGAAGGUCUGAGCCUGGCCUGUGGCCUAUCAUAGGCUUAAAUUCUAUGCCUGAGUCUGGCCUUUUGAAAGUCUGAUGUGGCCUGUUAGCCUGUUUAAAAGCCUAUUUCAUAUGAACAUAUUUAAAUAAAUAAUUAUAUUUAUUUUGAAAUAUACUUAUGAACUAAUAAAAUAAUGUUCNNN